rnacentral:rRNA from 1 species
GCUGGCGGCAGGCCUAACACAUGCAAGUCGAGCGCCCUGUUUCGGCAGGGAGCGGCGGACGGGUGAGUAACGCGUGGGAACGUGCCCUUUAGUUCAGAAUAGCCACUGGAAACGGUGAGUAAUACUGGAUACGCCCUUCGGGGGAAAGAUUUAUCGCUAAAGGAUCGGCCCGCGUUGGAUUAGCUUGUUGGUGGGGUAAUGGCCUACCAAGGCGACGAUCUAUAGCUGGUCUGAGAGGAUGAUCAGCCACACUGGGACUGAGACACGGCCCAGACUCCUACGGGAGGCAGCAGUGGGGAAUAUUGGACAAUGGGGGCAACCCUGAUCCAGCCAUGCCGCGUGAGUGAAGAAGGCCCUAGGGUUGUAAAGCUCUUUCAGAUGUGAGGAUGAUGACAGUAGCAUCAGAAGAAGCACCGGCUAACUUCGUGCCAGCAGCCGCGGUAAUACGAAGGGUGCUAGCGUUGUUCGGAAUUACUGGGCGUAAAGGGCGUGUAGGCGGAUGAUCAAGCUAGAGGUGAAAGCCCAGGGCCCAACCCUGGAACUGCCUUUAGAACUGAUUGUCUAGAAUCCGUAAGGGGAGUGUGGAAUUCCUA